AAAUUGAAGAGUUUGAUCAUGGCUCAGAUUGAACGCUGGCGGCAGGCCUAACACAUGCAAGUCGAACGGUAACAGGAAGAAGCUUGCUUCUUUGCUGACGAGUGGCGGACGGGUGAGUAAUGUCUGGGAAACUGCCUGAUGGAGGGGGAUAACUACUGGAAACGGUAGCUAAUACCGCAUAACGUCGCAAGACCAAAGAGGGGGACCUUCGGGCCUCUUGCCAUCGGAUGUGCCCAGAUGGGAUUAGCUUGUUGGUGGGGUAACGGCUCACCAAGGCGACGAUCCCUAGCUGGUCUGAGAGGAUGACCAGCCACACUGGAACUGAGACACGGUCCAGACUCCUACGGGAGGCAGCAGUGGGGAAUAUUGCACAAUGGGCGCAAGCCUGAUGCAGCCAUGCCGCGUGUAUGAAGAAGGCCUUCGGGUUGUAAAGUACUUUCAGCGGGGAGGAAGGGAGUAAAGUUAAUACCUUUGCUCAUUGACGUUACCC
rnacentral:rRNA from 1 species